GAUGAACGCUGGCGGCGUGCCUAAUACAUGCAAGUCGAGCGAACGGACGAGAAGCUUGCUUCUCUGAUGUUAGCGGCGGACGGGUGAGUAACACGCGGAUAACCUACCUAUAAGACUGGGAUAACUUCGGGAAACCGGAGCUAAUACCGGAUAAUAUUUUGAACCGCAUGGUUCAAAAGUGAAAGACGGUCUUGCUGUCACUUAUAGAUGGAUCCGCGCUGCAUUAGCUAGUUGGUAAGGUAACGGCUUACCAAGGCAACGAUGCAUAGCCGACCUGAGAGGGUGAUCGGCCACACUGGAAUUGAGACACGGUCCAGACUCCUACGGGAGGCAGCAGUAGGGAAUCUUCCGCAAUGGGCGAAAGCCUGACGGAGCAACGCCGCGUGAGUGAUGAAGGUCUUCGGAUCGUAAAACUCUGUUAUUAGGGAAGAACAUAUGUGUAAGUAACUGUGCACAUCUUGACGGUACCUAAUCAGAAAGCCACGGCUAACUACGUG
rnacentral:rRNA from 1 species